rnacentral:rRNA from 1 species
UACGUGGGGUGCAAGCGUUGUCCGGAAUUAUUGGGCGUAAAGAGCUCGUAGGCGGUUUGUCGCGUCUGCUGUGAAAACCCGAGGCUCAACCUCGGGCCUGCAGUGGGUACGGGCAGACUAGAGUGCGGUAGGGGAGAUCGGAAUUCCUGGUGUAGCGGUGAAAUGCGCAGAUAUCAGGAGGAACACCGGUGGCGAAGGCGGAUCUCUGGGCCGUAACUGACGCUGAGGAGCGAAAGCAUGGGGAGCGAACAGG